rnacentral:piRNA from 1 species
UGUUAAGGAAAAGAAGGUGACAGAUAA